rnacentral:rRNA from 1 species
UUCUCGAAUUUAGAAGAGCUAUUUAUUUUAUUGUUAUAAAUAUUUAAAAUAUGAAAUGAAAUGUUAAUAUAUCUAGUUUUCUUAGAAAAUUUAAUUUCUUUAUAUUUUUGGGGAUGAGCUUAAAAUAGGAUUAGAAGUUUUGUUACAAUUAAUGUAUAAGAAUUUUUUAGGAAAUUUUUUUAGGAAUAAUGAUUAAAUUAGUAUAAGGUUAGAAAAAGGAAUUCGGCAAAAUUUUUUCACCUGUUUAUUAAAAACAUGGCUCAUUGAUUUUAAUUUUGAGUCUGGCCUGCCCUAUGAGGCCGCGGUACUUUGACCGUGCAAAGGUAGCAUAAUAAUUAGUUUUUUAAUUGAAAGCUGGAAUGAAAGGUUUGAUGAGAAAAAUACUGUCUCUUUUUAAUAAAAUUUUAUUUUUAGGUAAAAAAGCUUAAAUUUUCUUGAAAGACGAGAAGACCCUAUAGAGUUUGAUUUUAGUUGGGGUGAUUGAAAAAUUUAAUUAACUUUUGAUUAUAAGAUUAAAUUACCUUAGGGAUAACAGCGUAAUCUUUUUUAGAGUUCUAAUCGAAAAAAGGGUUUGCGACCUCGAUGUUGGAUUAAAGUUUAUUUUGGUGUAGAAGCU